rnacentral:lncRNA from 1 species
GGGGAGGGAGGCUGAGGAGGCAGGCUGGGGAGGGAGGCUGGGGAGGGAGGCUGGGGAGGGAGGCUGGGGAGGGAGGCUGAGGAGGCAGGCUGGGGAGGGAGGCUGGGGAGGAAGGCUGGGGAGGCAGGCUGAGGAGGCAGGCUGAGGAGGCAGGCUGGGGAGGCAGGCUGAGGAGGCAGGCUGGGGAAGGAGGCUGGGGAGGCAGGCUGGGGAGGAAGGCUGGGGAGGCAGGCUGAGGAGGAAGGCUGAGGAGGGAGGCUCAGGAGGAAGGCUGGGGAGGGAGGCUGAGGAGGAAGGCUGGGGAGGCAGGCUGGGGAGGGAGGCUGAGGAGGCAGUCUGGGGAGAGAGGCUGGGGAGGGAGGCUGGGAAGGGAGGCUGGGGAGGAAAGCUGAAACUCAGGGAGGACUUUCCAGGAGGAACCCAGGAGCUGGGAAUGAUUCUCUCUUUGAUCUUCCUGGGGAGCUGAAGCCAGCAAGGCAAACAGCCUGGAAGGGGGUGGUUGGAUAUGGAGGUCAUCUGGGGUGCCCGUGUUCCAGUCAGCAGCCCUUCCUUCUCCUUCCCUCCUCCCUUUCCCUGUCCCCUCCUCUAUCUGGCUUUGGAGACAGGGUCUCAUGUAGUCCAGGCUAGUCCCAAAUUCACUAUGUGGCUGAGGAUGACCUUGAACUCCUGACCCUCCUGACUCAGCCUCAGGUACAUAGUAAAUUCCAGACUAGACUGGGCCACAAGACCCUGUCCCCUGCCAUCUGAGAGCCACCUCAUCAGCCCGAGGAUAUGAAUUGUUAACCUGACACAACAAUCCCCAUAGGAGGGAGUCUCGAUGGUCUUCGUCUCAUGGGCCUCCGAAAAGGGCUGUGCUGAAUCUGUUUCCUUUCCAAAGCUGUCAUUACUACUAUUGUUGUCCUGUGUAUGUGUGUUCCCUGUGUGUAUGAGAAGCAGUGCAUGCAGUUUGCGUGGUGCCCAGAAGGGGGAGCCGCGUCCCCUGGAGCUGGUGGUACAACUGGUUUUGGAAACUGAACUGGGGUCCUUUGGAUGAGCUGUGUGCCCUCUUAACUGCCCAGCCAGCUCUCCCACCAGAGAUCUUUUCUUUUUCUUUUUUCUUUUUCAAUUUGUUUUUUUGGUUUUUUUUUUUUUU